CCUACGCGUGUUCGAGCGAGUACGUAAUGAUUCAUCAAAUAUUAGAUAAAUACUGAGUGAAAUGGCAUGAGCACAUUUAGCACAACAUAGUUAGCAGAGACUGAGAUUAUCGGCAGAAAAGAUUGUCAGCUGAUAAGAGAGAUAGUAGAGGCAGUGGCCAUGCGACGCUUUAAGGAUAGUCAUUACCUUAGCUCGGCGUAAGUUGCUCUUUUUCAGAAUGUACUUUCUUUCUUUUAAUGUGACGCACACCUGUCCGGUGCCUCAGUAGUCUUCAGCGUUUUUCUUAGAAUUCGUAUCGCACAUCUGUUAAAGGUUGCUGUCUGUUAUUAUUGGUUUUUUUUUUCGUUGCUCUUUGGCUGCACAGGUUUGUCUCAUAUUUAUAAGCUCUGCGUUCGCUUCAUUAAAUCAUCAGUUCCCAGUACCGCUUCGUGUUGUGCCUUUGUUUCGCUCUGUGUUCCUUCGGAGAACCUGUGGAAGUCAACCAUCUGGAAUGUGUUGUUUCUAUAGUGCCCUGCUACCCAUGCUGCUGUAUCUUUUCCUCUUCGCCCUAAAGUAAGUACAACAUAUGUGCGAUAGGUGUAUCCCAGUAGCCGAAGGAAGAACAAUCCGAAGAAAGAACAA